GGGAAUGUAGAAAUCUAAAGGCUGGCUGGGCUCUGCUGAUUCUUCACAUUGAUCCCUGUCCGUAGCCAACCGCUUUUCCCUUCUUCACUGUGCACGGGGCUUUGGCAGUUUGAUUGGUCCUGACUCAAGUUUGGCAUGAAACAAAGGUAACUCCUCAAGGGUAUUCUUUGCUUUCUGACCUUUUGUCAUAGCAAUAUCACAUGCUGUUACUGCUGUUUGAAGACUUGGCUGAUCUUGUUGUUUAGGCUGCUCAAUUGAUGCCUGAUGUGCUUCCUGUCUCAUCUUGCCUGUUCUAUCAAGUCAAGCAGUGUGGGGACAUUGUGACCAAGAAAAACUGCAUAUGGCAACAUGGGCACUAAGGCUAUUGACAGGAGGUAAGUUUGACCACCACCCGUAAGAGAAACCUCAGCUGUGUGGUAUGGUAUGGUAUGGUAUGCCAUCACCAUGAACACAUCUGAUGUUGGAAGUAACCUCACUCCACAGUUCUCUGGGCUCUAACCUUGGCAGAACAGCAGACUGAAAACGACCAGAGUCUUGAAGGGCCUUCUCACACUGACCAUUCACUAAUGAUGGCGAAGUGAGUGCUUCUUCUUGAACUGGGGCUGGAUAAUUAUAUCCAGGAACUGAGCACAAAAGAAAGGGCUUACUCUGCCUAGUGGCAGGGCAUGAGUAUUGUGUGUGACUUAUCUCAUUACACUGAUAGCAACAUGUGUCCUGCCUAGAACUAGAAAAUAACUUCCCGCUGGUGUUUGGUUUACUAGGAGAGAAAUAUCUGGCCCCAGAAUGAGGUCUAACCUGAGCUUGAUCACCCCUUUCACAGCCAUUUGAUUUACUGCAUCCAGAGAAGCUGUCAUCUCGACCAAAGGGGUUCUUCUGGGCCCGGUUCUGGCUGACAGGACCACAGAGGCUUGAUACAACGCCCACAAACAGGUGUGAGGAGGACGGGGCAAGCUGUAGCACCAAGUGGACUGGGAUGACAUGGGAGUGGGACAUGAGGGACUGAGCAGCAGCAAUGGUAGAGGAAUGGAAGCUGUGGUGAAGACCCAGAUGGAACUGCCUGGCACCACAGCUGCAAACCAUGUGCUCCAACAAACAAAGAAACAAACACAUCACAACAUAUACUGUAAUUUCUCAGACAUCGAGGAUGUGCAUAUGUUGAAGAAAACAUCCGUUGACACUGACUUGCUUAAUAAUAAUUUUAUUGCAAAGAACACAACAUCUGAUCAGGCACCAUGCUCUGCCCGAUGGAGAAUUCAAAGCCAAUAUGAACCUCCCAGAACAACAGUAUCCACCCGCUUAUAUAGCGUUGGUCACAUAUGAAGUCAUAACAUAUGGUUCCUGUUAAAGGACCACAAUAAAAACAAAGGGCCCCUUCAAUCAACCCCCUUGACUUUGUGGCACCCAAAGAGCCCCAUCGAUCAACUUCCUGGACAUUGGGACCCCUAUCUAAACACGGCAUUGAAUUCCUUCA
ensembl:lncRNA